AACAGAAGCGGUAACGGGGGGUGGCGGCCACGGAGUCGCAAUGUGGAGGAUCUCGAAAUCGUUAACAAUCGCGGCAGGCGCGAGCGAGAUCCAUUGAUGUGCGAUCGCGCGUGUGAAUAUAACUGCCAAGGUGAAGUUUCCGUAUGAAACGGCAUCGUCCGGCCUGUUCCGCUUUCAUGGAAAAACACAAAGCCCUCGGGUUUUAAGUGAAAAUAUUGUUUUUUAAACACCGCUAAGGGAGUGAUGGAAAAUGUGAUUUGCGCUCUCUCUUCAAUUCGCAUCGAUCGGGAUUCAGGAGAACAUUUAUGCAAAAUUAAUAAAAGUAGCACCAUCUUGUUGCAAAUACCCUUUGAUCUGCAUUAAAACUCGACGUUACUUUGUAUACAAAUUUAAGUAUCAAUUCUUUAAACAUCGCGGGGAGAGUAAUUAAAAGCCACUUCGCAUCGAUAGGGAUUCAGGGAAGGAGACACUCUCCAAGAAUGAUGGUUAUGGGAAAAGGAGUGCUUGAACACGGACGAUGGUCAGGCCCCUGCGGUUCCAAUUACGAUUGAAAGGCGCUCCUGUUUGUUCGCCUCCUACAACUGCGGACUCUUCAGUGCCUCAUAGAACCGUACUCUAGCCCCAUGGCCACUUUUGAGUUCGGCGAGCACGUUUCCAUAGUGAAUACGCGAUUUUCGCGAUCGCAACGGCAACUUCCUCCGAGAGGUGGAUUUCUAUUCUGCUAUUUGGAUACAAUUAACGCGCGAUUCUCGCAUGCUGCGCACCGAGAUUACACAAAUUUCACAUCUCGCAGAACCUUUCAAGGCUAUCGAAUGUUUGUUAUUAAUCCCAAUUGUAAUUUCUUUUUUUUGUGGAUUCUUGAAAGUAUACGCCGGAUGAAAUGAGAAACGCAUGACUUUUGGAUCGUCAGAUUCAGUGUUCGCCUCUCCAUAAUUCAUUUUCUCGAUAUCGCGAAACGGGAUGACGCUGAGCACACCAGUUACUCGACGUUCUUGCUUUUGCGCAAAGUGCCGAGUAAUCAAAGGAACGAUUGUCGACACAAAGGUGCUUGAUUGGCUCGUUUAUGUUACGGUAAUGCCCAGGCUACCGGAUGACAUGGAAUCCCGUGAAGAAACCUAAGUGUCUCGCUCUUCUCUAGCGAGCUCUCACGAGAUCACGUAAAACGUAGUUAUCGGCAGCAUUAAGCGCCUUGAUUUAUUAGGUUUUAUUUCAGACAGUUAUAAAAUUGCAGAUAUUGAUUAAAAUGAAAAAUACCCUGUAAAUAAAAAAAUGUGUAUAAUUUACUGAAAGAAUGGUAUUGUGCUUUUAAGUUCAACAACAUUUUGAAAUCCUGAACUAAAAUUCAACCAAAACUGCCUCUUAUGUUCUUUUGGUGCAAUAAGUCGUU